UAGUCCUACAUGCAUAAAGUGAGAGAGAAUUGUUCUUCGGUUUGAAGAUGAUGCUGAUGUCAGUGAAACUAUCCUGGGUGUGUGUGCUUCAGCUGUUAUAAUCUCCCCUGGACUCUGCCUGGCUUGGGUGUUUUCAGACCUUGCUAAAGUCUUCAUAAAAACCAAGAUGGAGUUUCAAGCCAACAUCGGAGGAAGAAUAUCUUAACAGCUAACCUGAUUCAUGGCAACAGACUUGAAAUCAGAAUGAUCAUCAGAGACCUCGAGUGAAUAAAAGUGAUGGUUUUGAAGGCGCCAGGCUAUAAAUAAUCCCAAGUCAUCAAAACCAAGAAAAACACACCUACCCUAAGAACGGAGAUUCCAGAAAAAGCCAGAAUUUCCAGUGGUCCACCUAAAAUGCUAGUUACUAUUAGAAACUCAAGGAUGAAUUAAUUGGAUGUUUUAAGUUUGCCGUUAAUAAAAUGAGAUUAAAAAUAAACUUAGAUGAAUAGA